AAACGUGUGCUACUGUAACUUUACUCGAAAAAGAAAAAACAUAAGGGAUUGAGGAAUCAAGAAACUGCUUGAUUAUUGAGCCAACAAAACGCUAUAGAGUAGCUGAUCCAAUGGGUUUCUUUAAUUGGAGAUGAACAAAGUGACUUUGCUUUUGUACAACAAUGUUAAUCCUUCUUCCUAAUUCAUGGUACGUUUUCAACCUGUAGUGUAUAAGAUAUAUUCUAGUGUAUAUGGAGUAGCCUAUAUGUAAUUUUCUUGAACCCCUUGAUUUUGUUGGCCGUUCGAGAAGAAAGUUGCAAACAAACAUUAAAUAAUAUUAAUAAACAAGGUUUUCCUCUACUUAGGAUUUUGUAAAUCAAGAGAUUGGUUUGGUGAGUUGAAUUUCGGACUGGAGCAACAAAGGUAUUUAAAAGGAAGGAUUUUGAGGUAAGUGAGAUUUUAAGCUUUGAUACUUUUUCUAAAACCCAUUUUGAAAGUGUGUUUUCUCUGCCUGGUCCAUGUGUUGGGACAAACGUGCGCUUGGCAGAGUUGGUGGUCUUAGACUAGCCGCAAAUAUAUUAUUUUAUGAAAAAAAAAUCAUUUUAUAAGUUGUUUGAUAGUGUGAUACAGCUGUGCGCCAUAAGGUUGAGUUUUAUAGUUUGAUACGGCUGUGCGCCAUCAUAUUGAGUUUGAUACGGUUAUGCGCCAUUAUACUGAGUUUGAUACGGCCGUGCGCCAUGAUAUAAUGUUGAGUUUGAUACGGCUGUGCGCCAUGAUGUUGAGUUUUAUACGGCUGUGCGCCAUGAUGUUGAGUUUGAUACAUCUGUGCGCCAUGAUGUUGGGGUAUUGUGUAUGCCUUUGUACAUCACCCGUGCAUUGUGUAUGCUCUGUUACAUAUUUGAGGCAUUGUGGUGCCGUUGUGGACUCGUGGUCUGUUGGUAAAUUUCUUUCACUGCAAUUAUGAUAAGUNNNNNNNNNNNNNNNNNNNNNNNNNCCGUGUUGGGUGUUUUUGUAUUUUCCAACACUUGUUCCAAAUGUAUUUAAAGUGGCGGAUCGAGGAUCUUACUGAAUUAUAUUUACGUAUAAUUCACUCCUUACCUGCAUCUCUAUUCAGAUACUAUUACGGGAGAUAGAGCUAGUGGCCGACGAGUUUGUUCGAGUGGAUCCUAUUGCUGAGGUGAGCCACCGUAUUGUUUGUGGAGGCUUUCGUUUCAGACUUACCUAGCUCGUGUUAGUUAUUUCCUUUUUCUUUGGGGUUUGCAUACCCGUCAAUAAACUCAUGUUACUCUGUUAGAUACUCCAUGGUUUUAGUGUGGGAUUUGAGCUAGAGUUUUAUUAUUUGAGUGAUUGUUGGUUUUUCUAUCGAUUGACUAAGGUAUUGUGCGAUAAUCGUUUCCUCUUUAAUUAUUAAUAAUACUGUUAGGCUUGC
rnacentral:lncRNA from 1 species